UUCCAGGGGCAACGAGCAUUCCAUUUCCACCCCCCAUACGGCGCGUGCGCAAUGCGCUCUCUGGCUCUGAAGCAUGUGGGGGCGCUGCCUGAUCUCCCGGCCCGAAACAGGCCGAAGCCCAGGAAGCCGCCUCUCGGUGACCCUUGACCUUGAGCAAGGGGCGUCGCUUGCUGUUUGUUGCCUUGGCCUCUUGGUGCCUGUAUCCCAACAGGAAUCCGCACCUCAUAGCGCUAUGGAGAAAUCGCAAGGGGACCUAAAUGGAUAACCCUGCAGGGGGUCGGACUCAAUGAUCUGUUGAGGUCCCUUUCGGCACUAGCAUCUAUGAAUCCCAUGGCCAGGAUAUUGCAGGAAAUGACACUGCAUUAACUUCUCUAAAUUUAACAAGAGAGAUUAUAGUUAACACUAGAUAAUGAGAUGUUUCAUAUAUUUUAAUGAUGGUAUAAAUGAAAAGGUUUAUUAAGUUCUUUUUCAAGUAUUCUGCCAUAAGCAACAUUAAUUUUAUCUGAAUUUUAUGAACUCAUUACCAUUUCAGUUACAUUAGAAUUAAUACAUUUGUGGAAGCCAUUCAUUUAUCCUUUCUUGUUGCUUUAUUUGAUUUUCAAAGAGCUUGCUGCUCUUCACAGUAAAUUUAACAGGAACAUAAUGUGCUUUGUAUUAGAGCAGAUGAUUCAUAACUGGAAACCCUUGGUCUUACCUAGCUCUGUCAAUGUAACAAAAUUACUUUACAUCUUGGUCCCUCAAUUUAUGUGUCUGGAAAACAGGAAUUAUAAUAUUAAAGCACCCAACCAAUAUGAUGUUUAGGAGACUUACUGACAUUAUAAAAUAACUGUUAAACAAGCUUAUUUUCUGCAAUAGAUGCCAUGCUUAGGAUAAAGCUAUUUGUAUAGCUCACAAAAGACAAUAAAAGCAACUGUCUAAGCUUGAAGCCUACACACAACAGACACAAUAAUUUAACUGAAAGAAAUGCUGGUACAAGUGAAUUAUUUAAGCACAUAAUGUAUAAAACACUUUAUAUUUUUAAGCAUUUACAAUAGUUCUUUGAUUUUUAUGAGCCUUUUUUAGUAAUUACCUUUGUGAACAAGUAGUAUAUCUGAUAAAUAACUUUGAGUAAUCAAUUAGGUAUGUCACAUCCUUCAAAUAUUAGUUGGAAAUUGGGGGGGAGGGGCUUGGCUAACAUGCCAGCUUUUUCAUCUUUAAGUUUUCUUUAUUCUAAUUAAUAGAGAAUAAAAAUGGGAAGAGGACAAUGAAAACAGCCUAUAGCCUGGUGAUUAGAGCACUCACCUGGGAAAUCUGGGUUGCAGUCCCAAUUUUAAUGACUAAGGAUUUUCUGUGAAGUUGAGCAGUGUCAGCAGAAGAAACUGAGAACAACUUGCCUCGGAAUACUCUAGGCCAGUGUUUAAGGCACUUUCCUGGGAAGUUGGUCAUCUGAGUUCAAAUCUCUGUAACAAACCAGGCAAAGAUAAAGAAAUGUAAACAGUCUUCCACAUCCCAGGUAAAAUUCUGAAGCUGAAAUUCUGAUGGACAGACUCGUAUGAUGAUGUAUCAUUGCCUCAGAGGCUACAGAAGUAUAGGAAUUUCUCUCAGUAAAUCACCUUUAAUAAAGGCUAAAUGGGAUCUUUACAUGUACUCCAGGGUGGUGGUAAGGGUGUGCUUUAAUUAGAGCAGCUCCCGAAAGCUGCUCUAAUUGCAGCACUCUCAGCAUCUUGUGUAUACAGAGUCCCUCGGUUCACAAUGGCAGUGGGAGUUCUUUAACUAAUGCUAGCUCGAUGAGCUUUAGUUAAAGCACCCCCCAUUGCCAUUUUGAAGCACGGGGAUGCUCAAUACAUGUGAUGUCAAGGUUGCUGGGGCAUGCUAAUUGGCAUGCUUCAGCAGAUUAAUAAAGUCUGCUCAUUUCAAGCUACUUAGCACAUAUUGGAGAAGGCACUGGGCAUGUGUAUAGAUGCUCAAAAUGAUCAGAGCCAUAGCUGGUGAGGUAGGUUCAGAGCUAUUCCACUAUACACAAGCUGUGUAUCUAGCCUGUUGUUUAUAAUUAUUUUAGUCUACCACAGUGAAACCACAUUAGUCACUAAUGUAUCCACACCCCUUCUGUGUUCACAACCAAACUUUAACCUUUCUUACAGCAACAAAAUGUAUGUUCAAGACAUCCAACACUGGAAAAAGGUGGACGUAAAGUUCAAAAUUGCAAUCCUCAAAAUCUCUACUCUGUAUAACUCCAUGAGUGCUUAAGAUUUUUAUAGCAAAAUUCUCCGGGUGCCUGCACAUGCCCAGGAGUCAUCUGAACCCAGCACUCUUUCCUGCCUAUGCAGGGGGUUGGACUCGAUGAUCUAUUGAGGUCCCUUCCGACCCUAGCAUCUAUGAAUCUAUGGUCUUGACUUAUGUCCUGUCAUUCUGCAUGAACUAUGGAAGGACCCAAUAUAGUAAGUAUACUUAUAUCAUAUCUAAAGAACAUCUGUAAGAUUGUACCUUGCAAAAAAUAUAAAAGCAACUGCAGCUCUCGGUCAGAAAUAGGCAUAUUAAUGCAUGUGUAGAUGCACUCAGUGAAUCCCAUUCAGAUACCUAACUUUCCCCAUGCAUUAUAUAGGGAUCUGCGGUACCUAACUCAAAGCUGUAAAUUCCACUGCAGGUAGGUGUCCAAAAGUUAGAUGUUGCGAUGCUAAGUACUACAAUACCAAAGUCCCUUUGUGGAUUUAGCCCUAUGCAUUACUUCAUCAUGGACUCAGGAUACUAACAUGCUAUGGAGAACAAUCCUGAAAGAAUUAUGCAACAGUAGCUGUUGAGCCAUAAGAAGGCAAUAGCGACACCAAUUAACAUUUCAUUAAAAACUGUUGCGUUGUCUUUGAAUGUUUUGAAACUUGUAUUAGUACAAUAUUAUCCUUAUUUUACAGUUUGAAAACCCAGGCAAUUUAGCUAUCAUAAAAAUGCACACAUGGUCUUUUUUUUUUUUAAUAUGAAUUGUUUAUUUUACUAGCCAUUAUGACUUUGUGCCAGUCAUUGGAGUUUAUCCUUAGCAAAGGACAAAAAGAAAUGUAAGCAACAGAACAACAAAAUUUAGCAUGGAAUCAGGAGCCAAGUCAUGUUCUACUCUUCUAAUAAGUAUUUCUGACCUAUUCUGUUAUUGCAUGCGAGAUGCUUUAAAGCCAACCAAAGUCAGUGAAAAGACUCCUGUUAAUUUCAAUCGUCUUAAGAUCAAGCCUAGUAUAACAAGUGCCUAUGAAGUCCUUAGGCCAGUGAUGAUGCAUUGUAAAAAGUUUUAGUUGACUCUAAUCUUCAGUAUCUGAUCUGUCUAAUCAGAAUAGCAUAAUAAUAUGUACAGUCUGUCUGGAUGCUAAAAGAAGUAUAAAAGAAUUGUUGAGCCAAAUACAUCAUGCACGGUUGCCUUUCAGAAUGAAAUAAUGAACUUUUUCAUUUUAUUUCACCAAAUUCUCAAAGCAUUGAUUAGUGCAGGUAUAGCCAACCCUUGGCACAAGGUGCCACACGUGGCAUGGGCAACCUUUGUGUAUGGCAUGUGGCAGAUCAGAGAGGGAGCAGGGAACCCAGUGAACAGAUAGGUCAGGGGGGGGACUGGACGUGGCACUCAGGAAGGGUAUGGAGCUUAGCUUGUGGCACGCCUGCCAAAAAGGUGUCCAUCUAGGGUAAUAUAGUACAAAACAUUCUGUUUUGUUUGUUUUAACAAUACAAAACUACAUGUUUUUGAGUAAAAUUUCAUUUCAGAAACCAAAAACUUCAGAAUACUCGCUCUUAUUGGGGCUUCAAUCUUGAAAGAAUUUUUUUGAAAUUUUUUUCAUCUUAAAAGUGUUUUUUUUACCUCUAGUAAAUUGUCUUUUAUCUUAUUAGAACUGACCACAGAUACAGGAAGAGUACGAUGUGUAAAUGAUUACUUAUUUUAGCUUCAGCUGAAAGACUUCAAAAGAGAACAGGAAGAGAACAUUUCUAACUACCCUCUUAAAAAGUAAAGAUUUUUCUACAUUGGCUGUUAAAUAUCAGCACCAUAUUUGGUUGUAAUAAUGGGUCCUAAAUACUUCAGGAAUAAAUACACUGCUGGUCUGAAAAUAUUCAUUGUCUCUUCUGUGAUCUGAAAUGGAGUGCUAACUCUAGAAGGUUUUACAUUAAAAAACUAAUAAAGAAAAUAACUUGCUAUGUUCAGUUCUAGAUAGACCAUGGAUUUCUUUUGGAUUAAUAAUGUUAAUAUACCACUUUCAAAAUACUGGGCCAGUUUUUUAUCCCAGUUAUACUGCUGUUACUGCAGUGUGUUUCGAUUGAUUUAGAUGGAGUACUGGGUACAUCAGUGCAACUGAAAGGAAAAUUUGGCCCAUGAAUACUGUACAAAACUAAUCAAAUAUUGCUUCUGAAGCACUUUGAAAUCCUCUAGUGGAAGGUUGGGCAGAAAUUCUAAAUAUUAUUAUAUAUUAAAUAUUAUUACAGUGUUCACUUGAUAGCAAAUGCUUCAGUAAAAAAUUCAUAGCAAGUUAGAAGAUAAACCCUGUUUAAAAACACUCAGAACUCCUAGACAAUAUUACCAUUGCUUUCCGGGAUUUCACUGUUAUCUUAGUGAUUGUUGCUGAUUGGGAGUAAACUUGGAUCAGAGAGAAAAAUCCUGGUAUACUUCCCAGCCCUCAGAAUCCACAGAUCAAGAACUGGCACUGAACUGAAUAUAUGGAAGACAUGUUGUAGAGAAAGCAAGUUUUAACUACUCAGAAAAAUGCUUGGAUAAAACAUUUAAGCUUGAGUGCCUAGAGUUAGGUACCUAAAUAAGACUGCAAUAUAGCAAAAUACUUCAGGUCCAAGCCAGUACCUUGUUACUGAAGGCAAUAGGAUUUUCCCUUGACUUAAUAUGCAUUAGAUCAGGUCCUUUAAGCACAUGCUUGGCUUUCUGCUCUCAGUCAUUUUGGAGAAACUCCAUUCAAGUUAAUGGGCUGUUAGGGAUACCAGUGAGGAUAGAUUUUGAUGAUAUUUGAGUGGAUUUCAAAUUGAUGUUUAACAGAUGAUUGAAUUUUACCUGCUGUAUCAAUGCCAUGGUCUGAUUUUUCUGCCAUAGUAGCUCAUAUCCUUUGUCAGAGGGAAUGGGGUAGAGGCUGUGUUUUUUGCUACAAGUGGCAGAGACCAUUUCCCUGUUUAGAUGGAUAAAUCUUAUAGGAGUCAUUUUCAUUCUUAGUCAGCCCCCUAUGAAAGUGGUGGGAAAAUUAAAAAAAAAUGCUGAGGGUGCCAUGUUAUUGGUGGGCAUACAAGUCUUUGGGUCACCUAUGAUGUUUUUGAUACAGCAAACAUGAUAACAAUAACAUUUUGGUGCCUUAUACUUUCUAAGAAUCACAUUGCUUUUGAAGUGACUAUUCUUCCAGUUAAGGCUUUCUUGGUGUUAGGGCUCUGGGAAACCCAUUCAUGGUGGCUAAUGCAGAGUUUUGCCAAAUCUUAUGUUGUCUUUGUGUUGCCUGAUUUCAUGACUCCCAGUCUGAGUUUAAGAUUUAUAGGAACCUAAAAACUCAAAGAGAAAAUUAAGAAAAACAUAUGUGAAUCUGAUAUGGUUGUGUUGCCAAACUGAUGACUCAUCCCAGAACUCCUUACCCUGUUCACCUUCUCUUGUCUUGCAGUGGGGCAAACCCAUUUGUUUGUAUUUUUGUCCUCUUUCUUGUGUCUUUGUUAGUCAACAGGUUUUCUUUUUGUUUUAUGAUGAGUGGCUGGCUUACCUGUCCUCUUUUAUUUAUUCUUAGAACCAGCAAAGUAGAUCUUAUUAUCAGGUAUCAUCUGAAAAGCUGGAGUCCUGCUUGCCUUCAUUGCUUUCUGUAGUAAUAUGAAGGGGAGAAAAAGCUCUUGUUUUCUCCGCUACUGAUAUCACUUGGUUGGCCUUUGCCCCUGGCUGACCCUUUGACACUGAUGUGCUCUAGAGCUGUGGUUUUCAAUCUUUUUUCAUUUGCGGAUCCCUAAAAAAAUUCGAAUGGAGGUGUGGACCCUUUGGAAAUUUUGAAUUUGAAUUGUAAGUUUGGGUGUUCACAUACUUUUGAUCAUAGUCAUCGUUUGUGGACCCCCUAGACGUAGUCUGCAGACCUCCACGGGUCCGCUGACCACAGGUUGAAAAUCACUGCCCUAAAGCACAUGGGGCUUUAAGGAAAUUCCCCUUUCUCCAAAGUAUGGAAUUUAGUUUUUAAAGAUUCAUCUGUUUUGUUUUCUUCUGUCAACCACUCUACCACAACUAAUUGUGAAAUCAGAAAAGGGAGAUGAUGGCUUCUGAUACAGAACGAAGUACAAGAUACAAAAGAACCUUUUUCAUGCAAGUAUUCCCUGUGUUAGAGAAAAGGAAAGACAAGCAGAGGGUGCCCCAAAAAGUCAUCCAAGUAGCGAAUGCUUCUAACAAAAUUCUCUUCCCUUGGCUCAGAUGACAAAUUUCUAAAAAUUUUGAAGAGCUCUAUAAAGUGUUCACUAAAUAUGGAAAAUUCAGAAAUAUGUCAUGCUUUUCUGAUAAAAGCCUCUCAACCAAACUGCGCUUAAACAACUGGCCUCCUACAAAAAAAAGAAUUCCUGAUGUAAAAAUAAACCAAUUAAAAAAUACCUCACACCUGUUUUGGUAGGUUGCAAUAAAUAAGGUUUUGAUUUAAUUCCCUUUCACACAAAUAAUUGAUAAGUGAAACAGUAAAAUGACAACCAAUAGUCACAUGUAUCACAGACCAAGCUGCUCCAUUUGAACUUCUCAUGGAAUGCUAAUUUGUAUAUCAAAGAAAAUAGAUUUUGAAGCAAACAGGGAGACAAAUAAAGGGAAAAAACAGUGAAAGUGGCAGGGGUGGGGGUUGUGGAGGAGGAGGAGAAUUAGGUAGCUAUUAUAAUAUUACCUGGUAAAGGGGAAAAUAACAAGUGCAUAAAAUUACACAUUACCUAAUAACCAUUAUCCUACUGGCUAAAGCUGAAAGGAAGCUGUGCAGAAAGUAGUAUCAGAUUCAGGGAUCCAGGGAGAGAAAGCAAAAGAGUGAUCCUGGCUGUUAAGUGCAGUGGUUAGGGCUCUCACCUGGGAGGGGCAAUCUUGGUUGCAGUCUCUGCUCCAAGAAUGGUCAUGUUACUUACAUGAAAUAGUCAUUUGAAAUAAAAUGCUGUUGGGUCAGGGCUUUAAUGCUUAACCAAGUCAUGCCCAUAUUUGCAUUUUUUUCUCUUCCUCCUCCUAUUCCUCCUCUCCUAAGGAAACUUUAAUUGGUACAGGCAAUGUGGGCUAAAUCCACAGGAAGGGCAAAGUCAAGAAUAAUGCAUUGCCAGCUGCCUUCUCUUGGAAGGUGGCUUCUGUGAGUUUGAACUGUCUCAGGUAGUGUUACAUCUCAUCUGUGUGUUUUUGGGCAACCCUGGCACAGGAUGCAGUCUGUCUGACUCAGCCCCCCCUUCCCUCCCCUCCUCUACAUAAAUGAAACUGAUUAAGAUGCAGUGAGAGACACACCUAAGACCCUCCAGAUAAGGGUGACGAGUGAAACAACUGCCCUACGUCUCAUUGGUAUCUGAGAUGGAACCAGAUGACCAUUCAUUUACAUGAGAGAUGGAGAACAGAAAGCCUGAAGCAGAGACUGCAGUGAAUUCUGGGACCAGAGAAGCAGGGGAACACUGCAUGAUGGGGAAUCUGUGCUCCAAAUGUUAAUCAACCCAUGUUCACACACACCCAGCUCAGCAUUUAUCAGACCAGUUCUAAUGUGGAUUUACUAAGGACUUUUCCCCCCCAGACACACACACACCUCUAAAUUUAAUAGGCAUCUCGGGCCGUACUUCCCCGGUCCCACUAUGGGAGGCCUAUUUAAACUUGAUUGACUAAAACUCAGUUGCCGGGUUAGGGAAUGCUGAGGCAAGAGACUGAGUCAGAGGGGGUAUGGGCAACAUUUGAACAAUGGUUAAGGGUUAAUCACAGCGUCCAGCCCGUUGGAGCCCUAAUCACAGGUGUUGUCAUAUUUUUCCUGAGACGACUGGUGGGAGUCCUCUCCACAAAAGGUUAUGAACACCCCAAUAAUUGCUUUAAGUCUGUUAAAAGACUAUAGUAAGGUCUGAAAAAGUCAUGCUAAGCUGAGGCUUGUUCACAACAAGUAAAAAUCCAAAAUCCUGAUGCUGCAAGCUAUCUAUUGUUUCUGAAGAAACCAUGAGAGAUCCAAUCAGUAUAUCUGCCAUCCAUAGGAAUUUCAAGCUGGGUCCCAAGUAUUUGGUUACUCCCUAAUCUUAAGUAUUUCCUGAUUAUCAAUCAGUUUCUUGAGAUGUUCCAAACCAGAUAACCCCUUGUCAAUAGAAAAGACAAUGAUUUACACAAUUAAGGAUGCUUCGAAGCAGCUGAACUGAGGGUGUAAAAAUCUGUAAAAAGUGUGUGUGAUUAAAAAGAAAGAAGAAGAAAGAAGAAGAAAACUCCUGUGCUGACACCAUCCCCUGUUGUUCUUGGGACGCUGGAAGAACAGAUCAUCUCCCUUCAAGGACUGUGCCUGUCAGCUUUGCAGCCUGAGUACCUUGGACUGGUGAGAUCUCAGCGCACUCUUUCUCUCUCUCUCUCUUUUCUCUCUAGGCAUAAACUUCUGAACCUGAACUGUAUCAGUUAAGAUUGAGCUAAGUUUCCCCAAUACUUAAUGGAACCAGGGUAGUACUGUAAUUGUUUGUGUUCGUUUUUCUUUUGCAUGUCUAUUAUUAUUAGUACCAUUAUAUAUUUCAUAUGCUUAGCAAUAAAUAACUUUUAUAGUCAAA